rnacentral:rRNA from 1 species
GGCCACAGCCAUAUCACUCUGCAACUCAAGACCAGUUACUCACUGAAGCUAAGCAGGGCUGAGCCUGGUCAGUACCUGGAUGGGAGACCACAUGGUAAAAAUUGGUUGCUAUUGGAA